CAUUGUCACCCCUAACCCUAUUCUAUCCAAGGUUUCCCUCUUGCCGCCCCUUCGAAUUUCCCCCUCCCUUGUCUUUCACGCUAUCGAAUCUCCUGUGCUCUGUAACACUUUCAUUGUAGCUUGCACCUUUCACUAACGAACCGUAGGUAUUUCUCUACCUCCCCUUCUCUCUCGUUGUCUCGAUCUCUCUAUCUCGCACUAUCUCUCUAUCUCUCAAUCUCUCAAUCUCUCAGUCGAAAUUUUUGCUUUGCUGACUUGCAAGCAAGACCCUAUACCUGGAUACAAAUACAAGAGUGAAGAAGCGACUUGCAUAUCUCCACUCCUCAUUCUUUCAGUCGAAUGGUGCAACUAGAAUCGGGUUUCUCUGUGAAGCAAAAAGAGGGGCAUUCCAAUUACGCAAAAUGAGUUGUGGUAAGAUGACAGCCGCAAAUCAUUUCUAAGGUUAUUAUUUAGGGCAUUUUUUCUAGUUUCAUAUGCCAAUGUCGAAUUUUUGGUGGAAGAGGAAGACAUGAACAUGAAAUGAAUUGAAAAAAGAAAAAAAGGAAGUCGUAACAAAACAAAAAAAGUGGUAUUGGGAUCUUUUGUCCUAUAUGUGCAAAUUGAAAUUGGGCAUAUCUUUACCCGGAGUAGAGCAUAAACCUAAAAGAAUUGAAGAGGCCCAUUGGGAACAAGAAAAUUACAUCGUGAUUUGGAUUGGAUCUCGAUGAAACAAUACAUCAAUGAGAGGCUUGGUUGAAAGUGGAUUUAAGUGUUGUCUUUGUCUGCAGUAACGGAAAAAGCAAGGAAAGAAGCCUGAUGACUUGAACAGUAAAACCCACCAAAUAUUCAGUAACUACUACGAGUGGGACUGGUUUUCAUGUAAAUUCUGAUUUGCAGAUAUAGGGUAUCAUCAUGCUUCCACAACAGCAGAUAUAGGUAUUCAACUGGAGCACAAAGUAGUAUUAGACUAUUGCUUGGACAAGUGAUCAUAACAAAGAUGCAAGUACCUAAAUCUUGUUAGUUUUAUUGAAACUAUGUAAAUCCAGAACAUUGUUUUAAUGAAAUCAUUUGAAAAUUUU